rnacentral:rRNA from 1 species
CUGAACGCUGGCGGCGUGGCUAAGACAUGCAAGUCGUACGGGAUCCGCAAGGAUCCAGUGGCGAACGGGUGAGUAAUGUAUCGCUAACGUGCCCCGAAGUCUGGGAUAGCCGGGGGAAACUCCGGGUAAUACCAGAUGAGACCCCGCGGUCGCAUGGCCGAGGGCUCAAAGGGAAACCGCUUUGGGAGCGGGCGAUAUCGUAUCAGCUAGUUGGUGAGGUAACGGCUCACCAAGGCGACGACGCGUAGCCGGACUGAGAGGUCGGCCGGCCACAUUGGGACUGAGACACUGCCCAGACUCCUACGGGGGGCUGCAGUAACGAAUCUUCGUCAAUGCCCGCAAGGGUGAACGAGCGACGCCGCGUGUGGGAUGAAGUCCUCGGGAUGUAAACCUACUGUCAGGGGUAAGAAAGUUCUGAUCUACCCCAGAGGAAGGCACGGCUAACUCUGUGCCAGCAGCCGCGGUAAGACAGAGGUGCCUCGAGCGUUAGGCGGAAUCACUGGGCUUAAAGCGUGUGUAGGUGGAUGCCUAAGUGCUCUGUGAAAUCCCACGGCUUAACCGGGGAACUGGCUGGUAUACUGGGUGUCUUGAGCUGCCUCAGGGGCUAACCUGGAACAAACGGUGGAGCGGUGAAAUGCGUAGAUAUCGUUUGGAACGCCAAUGGUGAAAACAGGUAGCUGGGGUGCAAGCUGACGCUGAGACACGAAAGCCAGGGGAGCAAACGGGAUUAGAUACCCCGGUAGUCCUGGCCCGUAAACGAUGUCCACUAGAUCGUGCGGUGCUACUGCCGGUCAUGGGCCGAAGCAAAAGUGCUAAGUGGACCGCCUGGGAAGUACGGUCGCAAGGCUAAAACUCAAAGGAAUUGACGGGGGCUCACACAAGCGGUGGAGCAUGUGGUUCAAUUCGAAGCAACGCGCAGAACCUUACCUGGGCUUGACAUGCUAGGAUUAUCCGGAUGAAAGUAGGUAGGCCCUUCGGGGUACAACUAGUACAGGUGCUGCAUGGCUGUCGUCAGCUCGUGUCGUGAGAUGUCGGGUUAAGUCCCUUAACGAGCGAAACCUUUGCCCUUAGUUACCAUCGGGUUAAUGCCGGGGACUCUAAGGGGACUGCCGGUGUCAAACCGGAGGAAGGUGGAGAUGACGUCAAGUCCUCAUGGCCUUUAUGCCCAGGGCCACACACGUGCUACAAUGGGAGGCACAGAGCGAACCGAAACGCAAGCUGGAGGAAAUCGCUUAAACUCGCCCUCAGUUCAGAUCGGAGGCUGCAACUCGCCUCCGUGAAGUUGGAAUCGCUAGUAAUCGCGGAUCAGCUACGCCGCGGUGAAUGUGUUCCUGAGCCUUGUACACACCGCCCGUCAAGUCAUGGGAGCCGGAAAUGGCCGAAGCCGCUUCGUUUCAGAAGUGUCUACGCCAGGUUCGGUGACUGGGACU